rnacentral:rRNA from 1 species
GACGGAGGGUGCUAGCGUUGUUCGGAAUUACUGGGCGUAAAGGGCGCGUAGGCGGCCCUGUCAGUCGGGUGUGAAAGCCCGGGGCUCAACCCCGGAACGGCACCCGAGACGGCGGGGCUGGAGACCGGGAGAGGAGGGUGGAAUAGCCAGUGUAGAGGUGAAAUUCGUAGAUAUUGGCUGGAACACCGGUGGCGAAAGCGGCUCUCUGGCCCGGUACUGACGCUGAGGUGCGAAAGCGUGGGGAGCAAACAGG